rnacentral:tRNA from 1 species
GGGUUGGGGCUCAGUGGUAGAGUGCUCGCCUAGUGUGGGUGAGGCACUAAGUUCGAACCUCAGCACCACA